rnacentral:rRNA from 1 species
CCUACGGGCGGCAGCAGUGGGGAAUAUUGCACAAUGGGGGAAACCCUGAUGCAGCGACGCCGCGUGAGUGAAGAAGUAAUUCGUUAUGUAAAGCUCUAUCAGCAGGGAAGAAAAUGACGGUACCUGAGUAAGAAGCCCCGGCUAACUACGUGCCAGCAGCCGCGGUAAUCCGUAGGGGGCAAGCGUUAUCCGGAUUUACUGGGUGUAAAGGGAGCGUAGACGGCAGUGCAAGUCUGGAGUGAAAGGCGGGGGCUCAACCCCCCGACUGCUCUGGAAACUGUACGGCUUGAGUGCAGGAGAGGUAAGUGGAAUUCCGAGUGUAGCGGUGAAAUGCGUAGAUAUUAGGAGGAACACCAGUGGCGAAGGCGGCUUACUGGACUGUAACUGACGUUGAGGCUCGAAAGCGUGGGGAGCAAACAGGAUUAGAUACCCCUGUAGUC